CGAGUUAACUGAACCUUCGGGGAACGUUAACGGCGUCGAGCGGCGGACGGGUGAGUAAUGCCUGGGAAAUUGCCCUGAUGUGGGGGAUAACCAUUGGAAACGAUGGCUAAUACCGCAUAAUAGCUUCGGCUCAAAGAGGGGGACCUUCGGGCCUCUCGCGUCAGGAUAUGCCCAGGUGGGAUUAGCUAGUUGGUGAGGUAAUGGCUCACCAAGGCGACGAUCCCUAGCUGGUCUGAGAGGAUGAUCAGCCACACUGGAACUGAGACACGGUCCAGACUCCUACGGGAGGCAGCAGUGGGGAAUAUUGCACAAUGGGCGCAAGCCUGAUGCAGCCAUGCCGCGUGUGUGAAGAAGGCCUUCGGGUUGUAAAGCACUUUCAGCCGUGAGGAAGGCGGGUACGUUAAUAGCGUGCUCGUUUGACGUUAGCUGCAGAAGAAGCACCGGCUAACUCCGUGCCAGCAGCCGCGGUAAUACGGAGGGUGCGAGCGUUAAUCGGAAUUACUGGGCGUAAAGCGCAUGCAGGUGGUUAGUUAAGUCAGAUGUGAAAGCCCGGGGCUCAACCUCGGAACUGCAUUUGAAACUGGCUGACUAGAGUACUG
rnacentral:rRNA from 1 species